rnacentral:rRNA from 1 species
GUGGGGAAUAUUGGACAAUGGGCGAAAGCCUGAUCCAGCCAUGCCGCGUGUGUGAAGAAGGUCUUCGGAUUGUAAAGCACUUUAAGUUGGGAGGAAGGGCAGUAAGUUAAUACCUUGCUGUUUUGACGUUACCAACAGAAUAAGCACCGGCUAACUUCGUGCCAGCAGCCGCGGUAAUACGAAGGGUGCAAGCGUUAAUCGGAAUUACUGGGCGUAAAGCGCGCGUAGGUGGUUUUGUAAGUUGGAGGUGAAAUCCCCGGGCUCAACCUGGGAACUGCCUCCAAAACUGCAUGACUAGAGUACGGUAGAGGGUAGUGGAAUUUCCUGUGUAGCGGUGAAAUGCGUAGAUAUAGGAAGGAACACCAGUGGCGAAGGCGACUACCUGGACUGAUACUGACACUGAGGUGCGAAAGCGUGGGGAGCAAACAGGAUUAGAACCCCUGUAGUCC